rnacentral:lncRNA from 1 species
UGAGAGGUAUCGGAGAUGAGAUGUCGACGUCAGAGAGAGAAAGUAGCUCCAGAUUUGUCAAGUUGUGAAGCAUUGUUUCAAAUGUUCUCUCAUCAAGUUUUAAUGCAUAACUAUUAGAAAGAUCAAGUGAAACCAAAUUGGAAAGGUAUGAUAUUUCUGUUGGGAUUUUUCCAUCAAAGCCAAGGAGUAUCAGAUGCCUCAAAUUCCUCAAUCGGCCAAUGCCAUUUGGGAUUGAAAAAGGAGGAAAGUAAUCGUUAUAAAGGUUUAGUGUGUGGAGAUGAUGAAGCUGGAAGAGGCUGCUAUUGGGAUGAAUGGGUGAUGAGAUGUUGCCAAGAGAGAGAGCUAGUAACUCAAGAUUUGUCAAGUUGUGAAGCAUUGUUUCAAAUGUUCUCUCAUCAAGUUGUAAUCUAU